rnacentral:rRNA from 1 species
UUUCGGUAAGAGUGAGUAGGAGGCUCAUUGUCUUAUUCAGUUUUUAUAGUUAAGCUGAUUUUUUGGUAUAUAUAUAUAGAUGUAAAUUCUGUAUCUUUUAUGUAUAGAUAGUUCACCAGAAGCUAAAUUUCGGUUUAGUUAUCCCACCACAAGAGAAUAAGUAGGUAGUAUUUGUGUGGUAAGCAGGGACUUUAAUAUUUAAUGUAUGCGGUAUAUUCAAAAUACAGUAAAGUGUGAACAUAGAUUAUUAGGAGAGAAAAUACGUACUAUUAUUGUAAUAGUGAAAUUCGUCAUAAAAACUUUAUUUAGAGAUUUUUUAAAUCGAAAAGUUUAAAGAUUUGUAUUGAUUAUUGUGUAAAGUUGGAUUACGCAACAUGUAUAAUAACUUUUGGCGUUUAUAAUAGCUCCAACAAUAAUUUUAAUUGGAAUGUAUACCAAAACGAAAUUUUUUCUUCAUAGUCUAUUCUUUAAUUUCUAUGGUAUUCUACAAGGGGUAUGAAGAAUUUAGGAUAAUAUAGAAUAUUAAUAAAACCUGUUGUUUUGGAAAAAUUAGGUAAAAUUAAAUUAUAUUUACAAAAAUUUUUUAUUUUCUGAUUUUAGAAUUUAUGUUUUUGUUAAGUAGCUGUAUGAAUUGGAAAAUUCAUGUAUGGUUUCGAAUAGGCGGUCUAAGUUUUUUAGAAUAUAGUAUCGACCUUACCACUACGCGUAAAAUCUUACCAGUUUUUGAAUAUUUUAUACAGGUGUUGCAUGGCUGUCGUCAGUUCGUGUUGUGAAGUGUUUGGUUUAGUCCCUAUAACGAACGCAAUCCCUAUCUCUUAUUGCUAAAAUACUUCUGCAAAAGUAUUAAGAACUUAGGAGAAUCGCUAAUAACAAAUAAGCUGAAAGUGGGGGUGACGCCAAGUCGUCAUGGCCCUUAUAGACUGGGCUACACACGUGUUACAAUAAUUAUUACAAUGAGAAGCAAUAAUGUAAGUUGGAGCAAAACUCUAAAGGUAAUUUUAGUUCAGAUUAUUCUCUGUAACUCGAGAAUAUGAAGUUGAAAUCGCAAGUAAUCGCAGAUUAGUAUGCUGCGGUGAAUAUGUUCUUAGAUCUUGUACACACCGCCCGUCACACCCUGGGAAUCGGUUUUAUUGUAAACAGAUUGUAUAACUUAAAGGAGAUUGUAAAAUAAAUUUAGGAGUUCGUCUGUUAGAUUAGAAUCGGUGAUUGGGGUGAAGUCGUAACAAGGUAGUUGUAGGGGAACCUGCAGCUG